UAGGGAAUCUUCGGCAAUGGGGGGAACCCUGCCCGAGCAACGCCGCGCGAGUGAAGAAGGUUUUCGGAUCGUAAAGCUCUGUUGUUAAGGUAGAACGAGUGUGAGAAUGGAAAGUUCAUGCUGUGACGGUACUUAACCAGAAAGGGACGGCUAACUACGUGCCAGCAGCCGCGGUAAUACGUAGGUCCCGAGCGUUGUCCGGAUUUAUUGGGCGUAAAGCGAGCGCAGGCGGUUAGAAAAGUCUGAAGUGAAAGGCAGUGGCUCAACCAUUGUAGGCUUUGGAGGCUGUUUAAAUUGAGUGAAGAAGGGGAGAGUGGAAUUCCAUGUGUAGCGAUGGAAUGCGUAGAUAGAUGGAGGAACACCGGUGGCGAGGGCGACUCUCUGGUCUGUAACUGACGCUGAGGCUCGAAAGCGUGGGUAGCGAACAGG
rnacentral:rRNA from 1 species